rnacentral:lncRNA from 1 species
AGGCAAGAAUACUGGAGAGGGUUGCUGUUUCCUUCUCCAGGGGAUCUUCCUGAUCCAGGAAUCAAACUCACAUCUCCUACGUUGGUAAGGUGGAUUCUUUAUCAGUGACUCAAAUAUCCAUCUCCAAAAAUCCACCCCAAGACUCCCCUGAAGGUUCAGUGGUUAAGACUCCCAUGAUUCCAAUGCAGGGGGUGCAGGCUCAAGCCCAGAUCGGGGAACUAGGAUCCCAUGUGCCAUGCGGCACAGCAACCCCCAAAAAAUCCAUCCCCAAAAAAAUGCCUUAAGGAGACUGGAUCAAGAUAAAACCACAUUAGCUAUACAUGUCUUCUCCUCCCAUCUUAAAUCCUAGAAAUGACUAAAGACAGAUGUAUUGAUUUUCUAAAGUAAUUCUGAGAAACAAGAAGUGACACUAUCACCAGAACUAAGCUGACAGAGGCAGUAACUGUCCAGAACGCUCAAGAGAAAAACGCUAUUAAAAUGGGGAGCAGCUAUGAAGGUGGGGGAAGCAGAGGGGUGCUCCAUUCAAGGUGUCAAUGGGGUAGCUGCCACGGGGAAACAGAAGCAGGCUCUGGUGCAGUUGUAAGUCAUAUGGCAGGAAAAUGCAUUUGGCACAGCUGCACAGGCCAGUCACUCCCCUCCUCGGCCUCCAAGGAGGCAAAUUCUUCACUGAGCACGGGCACUUGAGCUCAACAGUCAGUAUGGCAUCCACACAGCUACUACCACCCAGAAGCGGGGAGCCCUACAUCUGGCCACACUUCCCAUCUCUCCCCUACAAUCCAUCCUGACGGACGAGUAAGCUCACAGUGCACCCACUGACAGAACAGCAUUCCUUAAACCAGAGACUAUCACUCUACAAACCAGAUUACCAAAAGGGGAAUCAACACCACAAAAACAAGACGCCAACAUCUGAAGAAACAGUCGCAGGAACAAAGAGGAGGCUUUAAAAGAAUCAUAAAUAUUGACCAAGGUAAAAGGAGAUUUCUUCCAUGAAAAAUAAGCUAUUGUAAAUCAAUUAUACGUCAAUAAAAAAAUUAAUUUUAAAAAUGAAUAAGCUGCUAUAAAGAAAAAUUAGAAAUUAAGAUACAAUUGCCAAGUAUGGUUUUGGCUGCAAGAAUCUACACAUGUGAUAAAAGUACACAGAACUAAAUACACAUUCACAAAAGAGCUAAGGUAAAACUGGUCCCAUCUAAAUAAGGUCUGUGGUAUCAAUGUUAACCUCCUAGUUGGGGGUGGAGG